rnacentral:tRNA from 1 species
GCCGUGGCCUAGUGGUUAGCGUUCCGGACUUGUAACCGGAGGGUUGCCGGUUCGAACCCCGACCAGUAGGCA